rnacentral:rRNA from 1 species
CUCAAUUUGACUCAACGCGGGAAAACUUACCAGGUCCAGACACGGGGAGGAUUGACAGAUUGAGAGCUCUUUCUUGAUUCUGUGGGUGGUGGUGCAUGGCCGUUCUUAGUUGGUGGGUUGCCUUGUCAGGUUGAUUCCGGUAACGAACGAGACCUCAGCCUGCUAAAUAGUCACGUCUACCUCGGUAGGCGCCUGACUUCUUAGAGGGACUAUUGGCGUUUAGCCAAUGGAAGUGUGAGGCAAUAA